UUGUGGUAUUUCUGGAUCCUUACCAAGGAAAUGAUGGUAUAUGCCUUCUCUCAAAAUAUGUGGUAUUUGUGGUAUAAGGCAUAGUGACAUUGCCUUCUCUCUCACCCUACUUUAAUAAGGCUUUAAUAUCUGGAGCUCAUAGGUGGGAGAUAAGGUAUACAUACUUACAAGACAUUUAUUGUAUAGUCAAACCAUGGAUCCAAAGAAACAAAUCAAUAAGCCAAAUCAAGAUGUGCUUGUGUGGCGAAUGAAUGGUGUAUAGUGAUGAUGGUGAUAACAAUGGUGAAAGUCUAAUUCUACUUUUGCUCUUAUGAGGGGAUACAUACCUUCCUUGCUUUUUGAAACUUUAUGAGGAGAAUGAGAUGCUCUUCUUUUUCUUUCCUCUCAGGUGGGUAUCUUGUACCCCUAAUUCUACUGUCGGACACUUGUCCAUUUUUACCACUCGUCUCACUUUUUCUUUCUUUCGAGGUUCCGGGCACUUGCCCCUUUUUAUUUCCUCGUUUAUUAUUAUUUUUUUUUCUUUUCUUCUCUCUUCUUUUCUUCUUUUUUUUCAGAGCACUCAUCUCCUGAAAUAAUGUAGCAAGUGGUAGUAACCAAAAUAAUUGGAGCAUUUAUUUCACAGGGAAUAACAGGGAUAGGAAAAUGUUUUUGGCUAUUCUCUCCCGGAUUAGGAGUAGAAUGAUUUUGGGUGAAACUGGAGAUGGAAAUGGAUGGAUAUAUGUGGAUGGUACUUCCGAAGUAGAAGUAGCAUAUAUGAGUGAACGUGCAAGUGAAUCUUGAUUUAACCACAUGACAAGCUCUUAAGGGUCUACACAGCUUGACCACACUCAAUGCUCAUAAGCAGUAAAUAAAUAUGUGGCUCAAAGUCUAGCAAGCAUGUAUAUAUGGCUGUGGUAGGAAUUUAAACUUUCAUCAUACAGGAACUCAUCAUGCAAUAUUUUAAAGAUUUUCAAAGAUAAAAUUCUCCAGAAUUCUAGCAUCUCUAGGAAUAGAUAAACAGCAGCUCAACCUUCCCAUAUCAUAUCCGUUAACAACUUAGAUUUCAGAUCAAGUUUUCAUCCCACAAGUUUAGAUCUAGAGCAAGCUUUAAAUUAUAACAGUUAUGUCUAAACUUGAGAGAGAACUUCAAAUUUGCAAAUUAGGCAGAGCAACUAUUUAUCAUAUCCAUGCUAGAGUUUUAUUAUUAAGAUUCAGAUUAGCAUAGCCACUUUAUUUAUUUAUUAAACACACUAAGCAAAAGAUAUAUAUAUAAGCACAAAAUCUUUAUUUGGUUUUUCAUAGUUUAUGUAUUUUAAUAUUCUAAUAUAAGUAUAAAGAUAGGUAGAAAUACUUAGCGAGAUAAGUGGGGGUGCUCUCCCCCAAGCUGAAUUUUGACGUAAUUUCUCUUGAUGUAGCUAGCAGGUGGCAGAGGUGUAUUUGAAAGUCAGCAGCAUUCUGACAGCGAUUAGAAUGUCCUCCGUCUGCUAGUUUUCUUGAUUCUUAAAUUCUGUGGAGCUCAAAUAGACAACAAAGCUUGUGAAACUAAUUAAGUGUUAGCAUAAAUAUCUAGGCCUUGUUUACUUCCCAGAAAAUUUUGCAAAAUUUUUCACAUUCCCCGUCACAUCGAAUCUUUAGACGCAUGCAUGGAGCAUUAAAUAUAGACGAAAAUAAAAACUAAUUGCACAGUUUGGUCGAAAUUGACGAGACGAAUCUUUUGAGCCUACUUAGUCCAUGAUUGGACAAUAUUUGUCAAAUACAAACGAAAAUGCUACAGUGUCCAUUUCCCAAAAUUUUUCGGAACUAAACAAGGCCCUAGCCUUCAUCACGUUGAGCUUCCUCAAUAAAUAUUACUCCCUGUUUUUAUAUUUUUAUUUUAUAAAGUAGAAAAGAAAUAUUUAUUUUAUUUUUAUGCCACCACAGUGAAGGUACUUAUGGGUUUUACGCCACUCGUAUACUCACAUGGGGCUUAGUAUUUUUUAACAUUUUUAUUUUCUUUUCAAGAUAGCAUGAUUAACUAAUAAUCUAUUUAAGGAAAGUAAAUAAUUAAAGGGAAAAGGGAAUGCAGAAAGGAUAAAUAUGGAUAACUACCAAUCUUACCUUUCGGCCAGGGUUCAAUGUUUUAAGUCUUCUUGACAAGACUUCUCACCGUGUUCAUUCUUCAGGUGCGUCAUUUGAUUCAGGUGCGGACCUUGACGUCUGCACCUUUUAAUACGGUGUCACCUAUGUUCUUUGUUUGCCCAGCUGUUCGAAGUGCGGUGUUAGCAGUAUCUUGCUCAGUGUGUUUGUGCUCGUAGUGUAUCUGCUCAUAGAGACAAGGCAGAGAUCAAGUGCAUGGGCCCUGUUGGUGGAAAACACCAACAGAACCAAAAGUGUAUUUGUUCUUCUCUAACCUUAAGCAUAGUGAGCAAGACAAGUUGAUGGAUGAUAAGUUCAUGAGUAUAGCACUUAUAACAAUUGUCAGAUCAGAUCACUCAACCUUAUGGAAAGAUAAUCUAUCUAUGUAUAUGUCUUUUUCUUUAUAUCUCUCAAUGAUUGAAUGUGUAACAUUUUAGCUCAUAUGAUUAGGAGUGUGGGAUCAUGGAGGUAGUACUAAGAACAAGGAUUAAAGGACUAAACAUGUUGAAUCAGUUGGGUUGGUUAAUCUAGAGUUGUAAAUCAUACACGUUUGUCUCUUUUAUUUAUAUGAAUGCCAGAACCAAGGAGAAGCUUAUAAAAGUGAUAGUCAAGUACCUUAAGAUGUUACCUUGCUCGAAGAGUGAUGGUACAGUAUCAUCUUGUGGAAGCUUUCCUUUCUUAGCGGUUGUGCGUCUUGUUUAUGUACUUUGUCUCCUUCCAUGGAUCAUCUCUGUAUGGUGAAUGAGCUAUGUCCUUCUUGUGCGAAUUGUUAAACUUCAUGUGUUGCUCUCUUCAUCUCUGAUGUGAGUUUAUCUCAGGACUUCCCAAAUUGAUAUUGAAAGUUUUUCUGCAGGGGUUAGUCCGACAAAAUAUACCAAUAUCUACUCAAGCAGUUUUUUAGUUCAAUAACCAAACUAGACGCCAUGUCUAAUCAGAUUAAGGAAGGCUAUUUAACCUAAGCACCAUGCUUAAUUUAAAUGCCAAUGGAAGUAUGGCGAGUACUUCCAAACCAACACUUGCUAGUAAAUAGACAAAGGUAGCAUGACAGCGUUUAUAGAGAUCUACUCAAGUGGAGAUGAAGUAGUGUGAUUAGUAUUUAACAAAUUGAGCAUGUCUCAAAGGUAGGGACAACCAGCAUAGCAACAUGGCAAAGGAUGUUUUUAUGUAAAGUACUCCCCCAAGCUUGAAUUUUGCAAAAUUCAAGUUUGGAUGAAUUUAAUUCAAUGUUGUAUGAUGAUUGGUUGGACAUACCUUGUGCUUGUCAUUCAUCCGAUCUUCUUGCUCCAAUCUUAGAAAGGUUAGUGACAAGAAUACCCGAAGGAAUAUUUUUUUUUACAAUUAUCCUUAUAUGCUUAAUACACAAGGUAAUGUUGCAAAUAAUUAAAGGCUCAUGUUACGAUCUGAUCAAUGCUUAUUUUAAGACACUAAGCUUGUCCUUGGGAAACCAUCAGUUUAUGUUGGCGAAGUGGUUUCCCCUCCGACGCCAACCUAUUUCUAGAUCAACUCAACGAGAUCUGCAAUAUUUAUUAUAGACAUAUGCAUCGACAACCGCCCUUUUAAAGUUUUUAUAAAUAGAAAGGAAGAGGGGGUUGGAGAUCUCAAGUGUGGUGAUGUCGGAGAGACCAAUAGAUUGGGAAGAUGUUGCAUAUGAGCAUGGAGUAAACAAAGUGGCUAUGAAAUAAAUUCCAUGCUCAUUAAUGUUAUCUUCGUCUCCAAUCUGAAUGUUCAGAGUUUCUCCUAGAUUGGUCUCACCUAUGUCCUCUUCUGUAGUUGGAUGAAUCUCAUCUUCAAAAGGAGUCAAGAACUCACCAUUUGAAAUUGAGCCAAAGUCAGAACCCAUUAAGGCUUCUUCCUUAUCCAUCCAUUCUACACAUUCUAGCCAUUUAGAACUUGUGAUCAAAAUAGGGGAGGUGUUAGAAUUUUCUAUAUGGCUUAGCUCUCCUUCACUUGAUAUGUCAUCCUCGACUUCUUCAUGAUAGGAACCAGGACAUUCUCUAAGAGAAACAUUAUUGCAAUGAUUUGAAUUAUCCCUGCUUGAAGGUCUCUUAUAAAACCAGAAGUCUAAACCAUCAGCAUCUAAAAGAUUUAAGGUCGGAAUUCCUUCCUCCCUUGGAGAAUUUUGGGGUAUUGAAGGUUUAGGAUCGAUAGCUAAAGUUCGGGAUUGAAGUGGUUGUGAUCUGGCUAUCGAAACUUCUUCUUCUUGUCUAGGAACUGGUUCUUUCUCUUUCUCAGGGAUAUAAAAGCUAGGAGACUUUCCGCUCAUUAAAUCAAUCAAAUUCCAAGCUUCACUAGCGGAUAGGUGGUGGAAGGAUCCUCCAGAGGCCGCAUGAAGGGUUUGCUUAUUUUCCCUACUAAGGCCCUCAAAAAAGUGAAUUAGAAGAACUUCUUCUGGAAUAGAAAGUUUUGGGCCAGUGAGAGUAAGGUUAAUAAAGCGGUCCCAUGAUUUGCCAAGAGAUUCUUCUUCCAGUUGUCUAAAAGAAAGAAUCUCACGCCGAAGUUCCACCACUUUGGAGAUUGGAAAACAUUUAGAAAGAAAACUACUAUAUAACUCCUUCCAAUCUCCAUGAACACUCCCUACUUUGAGUUUAUACCAAUGUCUAGCUUUUCCCGUUAAAGAGAACGGAAAGAGCUUCCAUUUAAGGGUCUCAUCGGACAUGCCUUCUAUGCGAAGGAGGUCACAGACUCGAUAAAACUCUCUUAGGUGUGUGUAUGGGUUUUCCUCACCUUCUCCUGAGAAAGGUUGUUUUUGAAUAAAUUCUAUGUAUUCGGGGUCUAUCUCAAAACUAGAUGCUAUGAUAGGCUUUGAAGAUUUUGGUGGUUCGAGAUGUGUGCCCAUAGGUCUAUGAAAUUCAUAGAUAGACAUGUUUGAAUUCAUAAUAGACCAGAGAUCAAGGAUUAGAUAAGAAGAAAGAAUAGCAGAGAUGAGGCAAAGGAUAAAAGGAAAAUAUUUUUAUUAUUAUUUUUUUUAUAAAAUGAUUAAACUAGUUCGUAGUCAACUCAGCAACCGUUUCCCCGGCAACGGCGCCAAAAAUGCUUGUUGACACUUGCUAACACCACUUGAAUACUAGGUUGUCAUCCCCAGCAUGGCACUAGAGUGUACUAUGGUAUUUAUACGCACACAGAUAAUCCGCAAGCGCACGGAUACCGUUGAAGCUUUUACCCGGUUAAAGAUUUUAUCGUAUCCACAGGGAAACGGGAGAACUGAUCUACGCUCUAACUUAACCAAGAUAAGUAAAUAGGUGUGAAUAGGAAAGAUGGUAGAAUCGAAUAAGAACAAUAUUAAAGGUAAGAUAACAGUGAGUGAUAAUAUGGGAAUAGAGAGUAGAGCAAUUCUAGUAUAUGGGCGAUGGUAGCAGAAUAGAGAGGAUAACUAUGGUUUCUCUACUUCAAAGGGGUAUGUCUAUGUCUGGGACGAACCGCGUGAUAAGAGUACACCACAAAGGAUGCUUAUCCAUAGGCCGAUAAACCCUACCCGUCCUGCUAACGAGAGGUGGACUACAGGGGACCAACGUAACUGUCACCUACGCGGCCUACCACACGAUCCAGCUAGCCAGGGGAUAUCCACAAGUAAUCUAGGUCUAAGCACCACGCUUACACCUAUACUACAACUCUAACCUAUAGGGUCCUAUAGAUUAGAAGUACUCAAAAGAGUUGUGAACCAGAACAUACAUGAUUAGUAAUUGCAUAAUGAAUUAGAAGUAGAUUACCAGAGUCAUCCCAUGAGCAAGCUUGAUUAGAGCUUGAUCAUGACGAAGUACAACCGGAGGAAGAACCGACAGGCCGGCCUCUCCUCUAAUCCUCCUUCGCUCUCCAUCUCGCUACUAUCUAGAUCUACUCUAGUUUAGAGAAGAGAGGAGAGCUCUCAUCUCUAAACCCUAGGUUUUGCUCUGUCUAUGAAUAAUGAAUAAUGAUCAAGGGGUGCCUCUUCUAGGGGCCAGGGGGUCUACUUUUAUAGUCCCCUCAAGUGAACCUGGGCCGUCGGAUCAAACCGACAUUGAUUGAACGGUUAUUCUUGAUCCUUUAGGUCGGUGGAGCAUAAUCCGCGAGAUUGAGCAUGAUUGGCCGAAAAAGGUGGGCGGGCGCCCUAAGGACUUGGGCGGGCGCCCUGUCCCUGACUCCGUUCGGUCUCCGCUUCCUUCCCGUGGCUUCUGGAGUCUUCUAGAUGUAAUAUAAUUGCGCGGCACGUUGAUAUCUCUAUGUAAUCCCGACGUGUGGGUCUUUCUUCCUUAUUUCCUGAUAAUCCCCUGCAGAAAUAGACAAACACCAAAACUCGUGGAAUUCUGUCAGAUAAAACCCUAAGUCUUGAUGUUGAUUUCAUUUGGAUCCUUUUCUUUGUUUAUUUGAUAGUUAAAUUUGAUACUUAAGGACCGUCAACAAACUCCCCCAAGCUUACCUCUUGCUCGUCCCUGAGCAAGGAUAGACUCAGCAAUGGAUCAGAAGUUGUUGCAAUAUCUUAAAAAUUUGACGGUAGACAUGCUUUUUAAAUAAGUUCUCAUCUCUGAGUUAGAGUAAACUGUCAAGAACUAAAACUUACUUACUUUACCUUUCACCAUGGGACUUGUAACCGUCACUUCUGUCUUGAGUAGUUAAAAGAUAGAACAGUCUAGCCAAGUGCCAUGUCUCUUAUUCUUGAUCACCUAUAGCUCUGGAGUUUUUGCAGAUUUUCAAAUAAAACUCAGAGAUUCCUUUGUAUGACUCUCUCAUAUCUCUCUUUUGUGGUAUUUCUGGAUCCUUACCAAGGCAGUGAUGGUAUAUGCCUUCUCUCAAAAUAUGUGGUAUUUGUGGUAUAAGGCAUAGUGACAUUGCCUUCUCUCUCACCCUACUCUAAUAAGGCUUUAAUAUCUGGAGCUCAUAGGUGGGAGAUAAGGUAUACAUACUUACAAGACAUUUAUUGUAUAGUCAAACCAUGGAUCCAAAGAAACAAAUCAAUAAGCCAAAUCAAGAUGUGCAUGUGUGGCGAAUGAAUGGUGUAUAGUGAUGAUGGUGAUAACAAUGGUGAAAGUCUAAUUCUACUUUUGCUCUUAUGAGGGGAUACAUACAUUUCCUUUCUUUUUGAAACUUUAUGAGGAGAAUGAGAUGCUCUUCUUUUUCUUUCCUCUCAGGUGGGUAUCUUGUACCCCUAAUUCUACUGUCGGACACUUGUCCAUUUUUACCACUCGUCUCACUUUUUCUUUCUUUCGAGGUUCCGGGCACUUGCCCCUUUUUAUUUCCUCGUUUAUUAUUAUUUUUUUCUUUUCUUCUCUCUUGUUUUCUUCUUUUUUUUUCAGAGCACUCAUCUCCUAAAAUAAUGUAGCAAGUGGUAGUAACCAAAAUAACUGGAGCAUUUAUUUCACAGGGAAUAACAGGGAUAGGAAAAUGUUUUUGGCUAUUCUCUCCCGGAUUAGGAGUAGAAUGAUUUUGGGUGAAACUGGAGAUGGAAAUGGAUGGAUAUAUGUGGAUGGUACUUCCGAAGUAGAAGUAGCAUAUAUGAGUGAACGUGCAAGUGAAUCUUGAUUUAACCACAAGACAAGCUCCUAAGGGUCUACACAGCUUGACCACACUCAAUGCUCAUAAGCAGUAAAUAAAUGUGUGGCUCAAAGUCUAGCAAGCAUGUAUAUAUGGCUGUGGUAGGAAUUUAAACUUUCAUCAUACAGGAACUCAUCAUGCAAUAUUUUAAAGAUUUUCAAAGAUAAAAUUCUCCAGAAUUCUAGCAUCUCUAGGAAUAGAUAAACAGCAGCUCAACCUUCCCAUAUCAUAUCUGUUAACAACUUAGAUUUCAGAUCAAGUUUUCAUCCCACAAGUUUAGAUCUAGAGCAAGCUUUAAAUUAUAACAGUUAUGUCUAAACUUGAGAGAGAACUUCAAAUUUGCAAAUUAGGCAGAGCAACUAUUUAUCAUAUCCAUGCUAGAGUUUUAUUAUUAAGAUUCAGAUUAGCAUAGCCACUUUAUUUAUUUAUUAAACACACUAAGCAAAAGAUAUAUAUAUAAGCACAAAAUCUUUAUUUGGUUUUCAUAGUUUAUGUAUUUUAAUAUUCUAAUAUAAGUAUAAAGAUAG
rnacentral:lncRNA from 1 species